rnacentral:lncRNA from 1 species
AUGGUCAAAAUUGCCGGAGGAGACAGUGUUAGGUUCGAGAUUGGAGACAGAUCAGCAGACCUGGACUUGGCCAGUUGGAUCCAUGGAAGAGAACCAAAGUCAUCCAGCAUUUCCAAAGAAUGUCAGCCCAGAGAGAGGAAUAGUGGAAACAUCUGGACACCCACAAAGCACAUCAUGCCCUGUGACACGAGACCAGGAAGAGAAGCAGACGAACAACACUGAUGACAUCAGUUAGCUGCACACCAGCCACACUCCACUCAUGCUGGAUGAAACCAUCACUGGUGACUACAUACACACACCAAAGACUGACAUUACUCUUAUUUUAAUUAUAUUUACUAUUAUUCCCCUGAUGGACAGUUGUCAUGCUGAAAUCUAUUGGUCUAUUAUACCUAAACCCCAAUAUUAAGAAUGUAAACUUGU